rnacentral:pre_miRNA from 1 species
CAUGAUACAAUUACGAAGCUCAGGAGGGAUAGCGCCAUUCUCUGUUCUUCUCUAUCGACACUUGGUAAACCAGCUUGUGCUAGCUAUGGGCAGAGAUAUGGCGUUAUCCAUUCUGAGCUUUGCAAGUGUCUCGUGCU